UUCUGAACAUUUUGAGUUCCUCUGCUUUCCAUGUUUUAAUCUGAGAUGGUUUUCCAGGACAUCAGCUUGCUACUUGUACCCUGUAAUUGAAGUAGAUCCACAUCCACCAAUAGAAGCUUCCAGGUCUUAAAUUUUUUAUAUUACCCUCAUUCUCUCAGUCUUGGAAAAUGACCCCGGGAUUUCCUUUCACAGCCGCGAUCUUCCUUGUGCCGGCAUCCCAUUUUGUACUCGUGAAUGCCAGCUAAUCAAGUUAGAAACCUCGGAGUAUUUGUUUGCUCUUGGGAAUCUAAACGUUCACCGGACCAUCUGUUGUCACCUAAUGGAAAGCGAGGCAGAUAGUUAGAAGAACAAAGACUUUAUGUUCAAAGGCGAGCGGCCCUUCCCCUGCACGUGGCCCGACUGCCUUAAGAAGUUCUCGCGCUCGGACGAGCUCACGCGCCACUACCGGACGCACACGGGCGAGAAGCAGUUCCGCUGCCCGCUCUGCGAGAAGCGCUUCAUGCGGAGCGACCACCUCACCAAGCACGCGCGCCGCCACACCGAGUUCCACCCCAGCAUGAUCAAGAGGUCCAAGAGGAGCGGCCCGAGCGCCGCCUCGUGAGGCGGUGCGCGGAGGAGCGCGUCGCGUCCAGCGCCGUGGUGCUGCUUGMGUUAGAGCCUGUCCACUGAGACCGCCUGCCCCCUCACGCGUCCUCCUUCGCUCCGUAGCACGUCCUGGAAGUGGAUGUUACUUCUGUCUCGGAAUGACCCUCCGUUUAAGAAAGACUAACGCCGCAUCUGUUGUUAGUAAUAGCAUCCGAUGGACAUAUAACUAAAUAAGGUGGAUUUAUACACAACAAGGCCCAUGAAAGUACGCGAGUCUUUUAAAUUUUUCUUUCUAUUAACUAUACUUUUGAAUAUAAGCUGCACUUUUUUUUUCCCCCCCCAGUAAAAGCGUGUAUAAUUCAAGCAAAUAGUUAAACCCAAGCCAAGAGCAGCUCGGUGCUUUUCUGAUGGUAUGUGUAUUUAGCUCCCUUUCCAGUUACCUGGAAGARACACGAGUCAGCCUGCAUAACGUGGCAGGGCUGAGGGCAGAAACAUUAGUCUCUCACUUGGUCCUAUACUUUAAUUUGACAAUAAAUACCGUACUGUACUAUAGAAAUGCCACUAACAGUGCUUUAUUCUGCUGUAUUUCGUUUGAGUGGAUGCAUAACAGCAGCUACCAUCUUUAUAAACUGCUGCUUUUUUAAAGGUUUUUUCUCUUCAUACACUUGCCUUAAAGAUUUAUUCUCUUCAUACACUUGCCUGACUCCCGCAGAAUCCAAUGGGAGUUGUGUGUGCUUAUGGAGAGAGUAGACCUUUCCGUAAGAGCACUCUGCUAAUGGAAACAGCUGGAAUCACUGCAAAGAGCGCUUUGAAAGGGCUCCUGUAUAUCUCUUUAGAGCUGUUCCUGCAGAGUAUGGGGGGAAACCGUGACCUAGCUCGGAAUACAACGCGGAAGGAGUGUCAUGAUAUUCCUUAUGACAUCAGCUUCCCGUGGGACUUUGCACCUGUGUCACGCGUGACACGUCAAAUACUGAUAAAGGCAAUAUUGCAUUUACUUUAAAGUUACGUUCUGCUCUUUUAAGAGGAGCGGAAACAUCACUGAAGAAGAACUUUAAAUCAUUGUCGUUAUCUGGUGUUUCAUCUUUGUUUGUGUUUAAAGCAUGAACUGUAAGGGGUUAUCGGUGACUUUUCCCUCCCCAGCUAUUUAUAGGGGGAGAAUUGUGUUUACACAUUUUUCUUUCCAGAGACAUUCUUCUUUUUUUCUGUUCUGUUUUUACUGCUUCCUCAAGAAGAGGAAGGGAGGGUGCAGCCCUGCAUAGAGACUUAGGGCCAAAUUCAUCUCGGGAGUAAUCGCCCUGAAAUAUGAAGUGUUUCCACUACAGAUGAAUUUAGGUCAUCUUGUAAAAUUUUGUACAUAAAAAUCUUGUUAGUACACCUGCAAUUACAGUAUCUAUUGUUUUUCCUGAUAUAAAGCUUGCUUCCUAGGAAAACAAAACAAAAUCAACUCAGAGAGUAGAGUAUUUUCUUCUACAGUUAUAUAUGGCUUUCAGCAUUAGAAAUCAGUUUGCAUAUAGUGUUUUUACCUGUGUAGUUCAUGAUAAAUUCCGUCUAUGUGAAGAGAACUGCUUUUAAGGCAUUAGGGAUACUGAGCAGUCUGUGGAGUAAAAAGGGAUGUG